rnacentral:lncRNA from 1 species
GUCAGUCACGUCUAAACUCCAAAGGGAAGACAGUAGAAGGAGGUAAGUCUGACUCCUCCUUCCCAUCAUGGGCUGAUGUGGUUUUUCAGGUAUUUUUUGGAAUCCUUCUUGGCCAAGAGAGGGAUCCAUUCAGUUGGUUGGGGGCGCUUAGAGUUUUAUUUUUGUUUUGCACUUCUCGUAACCAAGUAUGACUCCCAAGACUCCCGGGGCAUGCUGUAGAAUAAUGCUGUUACCAGGAAUUUGUCAGGAAAUACUCUGCAUGAUUGGAAGCUGAGAGUAAAGGCUUAGGAUUUGGUGUUGUUUGCACAAACCUCCCAUGAAAAGACCAUGCACACUGGAGCAGGACAGUUGCAAUUUUGGCUUCCCUCUCUCCUGACUCUGGGAUCUUGAGUAAAUUACUCCAAGUCCUUAAGCCUCUGUUUCCACAUCUGGAAACUGAACAUACUAACACCGACCUCUCAGAGUUGUUGGGACAAUUAAUCAGGAACAUAUGUGGAAGCACAGUGCCAGGGACAAGGCAUUCAUUUGAUAAAUAGUGAUGUCUUUCCUUCCUUUCCCACCCCUUUUCUUCCUCCCUGCAGAGACACUCAAACUGGGAUUCUGGUCAUGGCCAGGUGACUGCCAUGAGGACAGAGGCAUCUGGCGUUAGUUCCUGGAUGAAGUACAGCUCUGAAGUCAAGUGGAUCCUAUACAAACCAGAAAGACAAAGGAAUAUGAGGAGACCUCAUCAGGAUGGAAAUCACAAUUUUAAGGCAGAUACAUGUUUUUGGAAGAUCAACCUUAUGCAAUAUUGAGUUCAUGAAAAUGAGGAGGUCUAAAAGUAGGGUGACCAACCAUCCUGGUUUGACAAAGACUGAUAGAUAUUUCCUGGGGUGCAGGACCUUCAGUGCUAAGACUGGGGAAGUUUCAGAAAAUGCACUGAUAGUGGAAAUCUAAAGUAUACUCAGAAAUAUGUUGAUCGUCUUAUCUAAAAGAUGGUGACAGAUUGUGGUAGCUAGUCUCCAAAGACGGUUCCCCAAUAAAUUAUACCUUCCUGAAUCUGUGACUUUGUGUAAUCCUAUCCCCUUGAAUCUGGGUUGACCUGUAGCUUUUAUUUUUUUUGAGAUAGGGUCUCAGUCUGUCACCCAGACUGGAGUGCAGUGGCAUGAUCAUGGCUUACUGAAACCUCAACUUCCCUGGGCUCAGGAGAUUCUCCCACCGCAGCCUCCCAAGUAGCUGAGACCACAGAGGUGUGCCAACAUGCCCAGCUAAUUUUUGUAUUCUUUUGUAGAGACGGGGUUUCACCAUGUUGCCCGGGCUGGUCUCGAACUCCUGGGCUCAAGCGAUCCACCCUUCUUGGCCUCCCAAAGUGUUGGCGUUACAGGUGUGUGCUACCAUGCCCCACCGUGUGGCUUAUUUUUGACCAACAGAAUAUGACGGAAGCCAUCUUGGUGUGAAAUCUCAGACUAGGUCAUUAGAAACCUUACAGCUUCCACCUGGGUAUCUUGGCAUAUUUACUCUGAGGGAAGCCAGCUGCCAUCUAAGUUCAACUACUUUAAAAUCACCAAGCUCAAACUAAGCAUAUGGGGAGCCUGUGUGCAAAGAGCGAGAUGCCUGUGCAGCCGCCAGCUGUCCCAGCUGUCCCAGCUGAAGCACCAGAUGUAUUAGUAAAGAAGCCAUGUGGGACGUCCAGCCUUCAGAAGACGGCAGCCACGCGAGAGACUCCGAGUGCAAAUCACCCAGCUGAAUCCAGUCAGUCCACACAAUUAUGAUAAAAAAUAGUGGAAUAUCUGUAAUCCCAGCACUUUGGGAGGCCGAGGCGGGUGGAUCACGAGGUCAGGAGAUCGAGAUCAUCCUGGCUAACACGGUGAAACCCCGUCUCUACUAAAAAUACAAAAAAUUAGCCGGGUGUGGUGGCGGGCACCUGUAGUCCCAGCUACUCGGGAGGCUGAGGCAGGAGAAUGGCGUGAACCCAGGAGGCAGAGCUUGCAGUGAGCUGAGAUUGCACCACUGCACUGCAGCGUGGGAAACGGAGUGAGACUCCAUCUCAAAAAAAAAAAAGUGGAAUAUUAUUUUAAGCCACUAAUUUUUUCCUUAAAAAAGCUGUGGUAAGCUCAUGCUGAAGGCCUAUUUCCUAACCUACACUGGAGACUUCUUCCUUACUCCUGUGCCUAGGGGAAUGUGCCCAAGCUCUGGGCAGAGUGCCCCGUGCUCAUGCAGGUAGACGUUCCCGCUUCCCACUGCAAAGCCCACUAAGCAGCACGAUGUCCUGCUCUUUUAGUUAUCCAGGCACCAGAAGCCCAAAGGGGCAGCAGAAAAAUACUGACAAUAGAGGUAAGUCCGUUCUGGGUAAUUCAGUUCAUAAAGCUCGCUUUGGAGGAUUUCAUUUCUCCAUGUUAAAUACAAUAUGUUUUUCUUUUGAGACACCUCUUUUCGGCAGGAAAAUCCUGCCAUCAUCAUUUCCCAUUUGAGUUCCGUGAGCUUCUACCUAGAGGCAAAAUGGAAAUGGGAAUUUUAUAAUGAAAGAAGCAGACGGGGAGAGGAAUCUGCCGUCUUCUUAACAAGCCAGUAAGAGGCACUGAAAAUCUCAGAGAGCUGCCAAUGACAAGCAUGCUCAUUCUCAGCGCAGCUGCUCUUUUACAAAUCGUGGUAACAUAAACAAUGUAAAAUCACCAUUAACCGUUUCCAGAACAUUUUCAUCUUCCCAAACUGAAACUCUGUACCUUUUAAACAAUAACUGCCCUUUCCUCUCUCCCCGAGUCCCUGGCCACCCCAGUCUACUUUCUAUCUCUGUGAGUUUGAUUCUCUUUGGUACCCUAUAAAAUGGAAUCAUAGAGUAUUUGUCCUUUUGUGCCUGGCUUACUUCACUUAGCAUAGUGUCCUCAAGGUCCAUCCAUGUUGUAGCACGUGGCGGGACUUCCUUCCUUGUUAAGGCUGAAUCAUAUUUCAUUGUAUGGAUGGACUACAUUUUGGUUAUCCACUCAUCUAUGGUUGGACAUUGGGUUGCUUCUGCCUAUUGGCUGUUGUGAAUAAUGCUGCUGGGAGGAUGAAAUGUGCAAAUAUCUCUUCAAGACCCUGCUUUCAAUUCAAGCCACUGAAUGUUGAGGUGGUUUGUUACAUAGCAAUUGGCAACCGGAUGUUGAGUCACGAUUACAGCAUGCCACCAACAUGGUACAAGGAUGAUGAUCACUGAAGGAGAGAAGUGUGUUGUCCAUGUGAGUGCAUGAGGUCCAGCUGGAGAGAUUAUUACCUGACUUAGUGUCACUAGGAUCUCUGCUUUGGAGUGGAAGCUCUCACUUUCCUGCGUGCCCAGGAGAAAGCAUAAGGCAGGCAGGCUGUAGAGUAGCAGCCAUUUAAAAAUUGCACUCAUAACUGUGUAACAACAAAAGAAAAGAUUAUUCUGGAUUUGCAUUCAGAUUGGGCAGACUGCUAGUGUUUCUUCCACCAGGAUGGUCUGAGAGCCAAGCUUGGAAAAUCAGAAGCGAUUGGGUCAUCCAGUGCAGGACAGUUUAGCACCAUGAAUGGCUAAUUAAGCUUGGAUUCCAUCACAAACUAGAGGGGAUACAUUUUCUUCUGUUGAAAUUAAUCAGGGCCGAGGAAGGAAAAAAAGAAACCAUGGCCGCCUUUUUGAAACAAAUCCAACAAACACGUCAGAGGGAAGCUCCACGCUGCACAUGGUGAUCUGGAAGUAAAGCAGGUGAGCCCUGCCCUCCUGAAGCUGGACCCUGGCACUGGUGAUGAGGAUAAGAGGUUUCCCAGCUGUUUAAAAGAAAACAGUGUGUCAGCCGGGCAUGGUGGCUCCCGCCUGUAAUCCCAGCACUUUGGGAGGCCGAGGCGGGCAGAUCACUUGAGGUCAGGAGUUCGAGACCAGCCUGGCCAACAUGGUGAAACCCCAUCUCUACUAAAAACACAAAAAUUAACCAGGCGUGGUGGUGUGCGCCUGUAAUCCCAGCUACUCGGGAGGCCGAGGCAGGAGAAUCACAGGUGAACCCAGGAGGCAGAGGUUGCAGUGAGCCAAGAUCGUACCACUGCACUCCAGCCUGGGAGACAAGAGUGAAACUCCGUCUCACAAACAAAAAACAAACAAACAAAAAAAACCCCACAAAAAAAAGUGUAUCAAUACAAAAAAUUUGAGGUAUACUAAGGCCAACGGAGAGGAUUAGGAGAUAGUUUCACACAGUUCCCAAGAGGAAGGUGUGCACCACACCACAGGGCCGCACAGGGAAGCAGGAGGCAGAGCGAGAGGGGGGCUGUGGACAAGAGCCUUUUUUUGUGAUUUCCUUGGGAAGAAACAGGAAGGCAAAGUAAACAGACUCGGGAUUGGCCAGUUUGCUAAUUUCAGCAGGCUCUGGGGUAUAGGGGCUGUCCCUAAUUGUCUGGUACCUGACUUUGGGUGAUUAGGGAAAGUGGAUAGUGGCCCAGCAUGUGAGAGACCAAUAAAGGAGGUGGUUGGGGUGUGGGCUCUGGAUUGGUUGGUUUGUAUUUGAAAAGUGCGCCCCUGGGAGGAGGAGGACUCCCGAGGAAUGGGGGGUGGCACAGAGGAGGCGACAAGGGAGGCCUGAGGCUGAAGCAAAGCAUACUGUUGGGUUUUCCAGAUCAAGGAAUGUUUGGUGUAUGCAUGUAGGACAGAUAUUAAAACAUCGACUUUAUAGACGCCAGAAACAUGGUCAAUACAUUGGCCCUGUGACACUUUAACAUCAAACUAAGGCACCUUUGCAGCAAUGAUGGAUGAGACUUAGAAAGAAGGCCAUCAUUUGCCCUAAAUAGUACAGAAAAUAUUUUUUAUGAGAGUUGAAAGGAGGAACAAAAAUUGAAGUAUAAGGAGUCCUUGUAGGCCAGCCUGUAUCUAAGUUUCCCAUUCACAUGGCAUUAGCAGACGAAAUAGAUUUGAAAUUUCCAGGGUCUCUACCAAUAUCUUGGUGGAUUGCAGAGUAUGUUAAAAGUAUGAGAAAUAUAUAUAUAUCUCAAAAAAAUUGGACAAUAAUAUCUUGGUGUAUUUCUCAGGUCAUGGUGGCAAGUCCUGCAGUUAUCUUGUUGGAGGGUAUUAUCUGAGAAGUCAGUAAAGUACAUGUAAAGACUGGUGAUAUUUGUGUGUAACCAAGGGGAUGGGGUGGUUGUGGUCGUUACAGUUGGGGACAGGGCAGGAGGUCCUGGUGGAAAGCUGGAGCAUACAGUAGAAGUCACUAGGGAGUGUAUGACCCUCUCCCCAGGGUCCAGAGGAUUCACUGGCCUGCAGCAGCUGCCUCUUGGGGAAAAUAAUACUCUUCGUCAAUUUUAGAAUGGCAUUGAGAGUAGUAGCUUCUACCAGGUUUUCCUUUAGGUGUGGAGGGGACGGUGCAUGUUUUGGCAGAGAGCAAGGAACAUACCAGGAUCAUGGGCCAAGCAGACAGUAAAUUCAGGAAACACAAUAGAGUUCCUAAUUCAAAAGAAGAAAAGCAACAAAUGUCCAUGUCCAUUUUGUCAGCACCUUGAGAGUGUCACUGGGUUGGAGGCUUUAGUGUCCAGGUGAUGUAUCUCUAAUAGCGAUGUCUUGGGCUAGGGUGAUGUUGUCUAAGGUGAUGUCAUCUCCAGCUGCGAGCUUCUGAGGAAUGUCAUCUGGGAUGUGGGUCUGAGGUACCCUGUGCAACUGCAGAAAGUUGGAUGUGAUUAAGAUCUUGUCUGCAAAGAUAGUGUGCAAUGGCAAAGCUGUUGAGGUCCCCAUGGGUAGCCUAGAAAAGGUAAAUUGUGACCCGUUAGAGGUGAAGGCAAACUGUGCUGAAAGGUUGUUGAAGGAGGCAAUGAACAGAACACAGCAGCCAAAUCUGUAAUAAUAAAAUACCAGUCAUUGACUGGGUGGUGCCGAUUAUUUUAAUAAUACUGAAUAUUGCAUAUGGGGCUUUUCUUUUUGCCAGGAACUUCCAGUUUUUA